GACGAACGCUGGCGGCGUGCUUAACACAUGCAAGUCGAACGGAAAGGCCCUGCUUUUGUGGGGUGCUCGAGUGGCGAACGGGUGAGUAACACGUGAGUAACCUGCCCUUGACUUUGGGAUAACUUCAGGAAACUGGGGCUAAUACCGGAUAGGAGCUCCUGUUGCAUGGUGGGGGUUGGAAAGUUUCGGCGGUUGGGGAUGGACUCGCGGCUUAUCAGCUUGUUGGUGGGGUAGUGGCUUACCAAGGCUUUGACGGGUAGCCGGCCUGAGAGGGUGACCGGCCACAUUGAGACUGAGAUACGGCCCAGACUCCUACGGGAGGCAGCAGUGGGGAAUAUUGCACAAUGGGCGGAAGCCUGAUGCAGCAACGCCGCGUGCGGGAUGACGGCCUUCGGGUUGUAAACCGCUUUCGCCUGUGACGAAGCGUGAGUGACGGUAAUGGGUAAAGAAGCACCGGCUAACUACGUG
rnacentral:rRNA from 1 species